CACCACUGUCAUUACCAUCACCACCACCAGGAAAUGCACAAGGGAAAACUUGGAGGAUGUGAUUGAGGUGCAGGGUGUGGGUCAGGGGCAGAAGGUGACGUGCCAGAGUGACGUCACGUUCCCCCAAAUGCAGGCCGGCAAGUUUGCUGACGUCACCAGUCGUCAGUGCACGGCGGGUGCUGCAAGGGGAACUGCAGGAGGUGGACCUGUUCAGCAUCUCAUCCCUCCCUGCCCUCUCCCCUGACAGGAGCAUGCCAGACCCAGGGGUGCCCAAGGAAACGGUUGCGGUGGAAACUGGCGUACAGCUGUGCCUGAGCCUGCCGUGGACGCAUUUCCCAGCCCCCGAACUGAACGGUCAACCUGCCGCCAAUCUCAACUUCAACCAGAACAGCUCGGACACGGCUGGCCAGGACAACCACCGCAACACAGACAUGCAUGCACCUGAUAUGGACAUGAAAAUGGAGGGACAGGAGUCCCACGUGAUGGUGUCCGACAGGGAUGCCUCAGUGCAGGAGGGGGAACGGCAGGCAGAGACCCGCAAGCGCCCCUGGGAGAAGCCUGGAGAGUGGCCUGAGGCAGUGAGUGCUUGAGUGGAGCCUUCACACCACACCAGUUAACCGAGCCAAUGAAAGCAGAAUCAAACUUUCCAUUCCAGUCAACUGAACCUGUGAAAGUUCCCAAUCCGGCCAAGCAGGUCUCAGAAGGUGCGGCGUCCAUGCACCCCGUGAUGGUGCUGCACCAGAUGAAGCCUGGCCUGCUGUACAACACUAACCAGACCACCAGGGAUAACAAGCCUUUCUUCACCGUCACCGCCGACAUCGAUGGCAAGGAGUUCUCAGGCAAGGGGACAAAUGUGAAGAAAGCCAAGUUCUUCCUGGCCAACACAGCAAUACUGGGACUGUACGGGGUAGAAUCCACCUUGGAGAUCUCCGCUUAAUAGAAGUACUAGCUGCCUGGGUACUGGCGGCGGUGUGCGGGGCAGGCGGUCCCUCGCACACGUGGCUGUAGAGUCUGCUACGUGAUAAUGACAAAGUAGAUAGGUAGCUACAUAGCAUUUUAACCUGAAGUCCUGUCUGUGAGUGUUGUCUUGUAUGUUGCUGCUUGCUGAAGGCAGGGAAUGUACUGAACUGGACCUGAGUGGCUUAAGGCAAAACUCCUGUGGAAAGGAAGUGAUGGUCUGUGCUAAAUGUUGCAGUCUGACGAGUGACGUGGAAUUCAAUUUUUCCACGUGUAAAUUCUUCCAGUCCAGUGUUUACCUUUAUUUUGUUCCAGCUCUGUUACUUAGUGCCAGAGUUAGAAGACUGACAUUUAACGGAAUUCUUAUUUAUGAUUUUGACGUAUUUUCUUUUCCCAUUUAUUUACUUAGCCCAUGAAGUGUGGGUGCUCCUUGUAAAUGGU